rnacentral:rRNA from 1 species
GCGGCGAGUGAGCGGCAAAAGCUCAAAUUUGAAAUCUGGCUCUUUCAGAGUCCGAGUUGUAAUUUGAAGAAGGUAUCUUUGGGUCUGGCUCUUGUCUAUGUUUCUUGGAACAGAACGUCACAGAGGGUGAGAAUCCCGUGCGAUGAGAUGAUCCAGGCCUAUGUAAAGUUCCUUCGAAGAGUCGAGUUGUUUGGGAAUGCAGCUCUAAGUGGGUGGUAAAUUCCAUCUAAAGCUAAAUAUUGGCGAGAGACCGAUAGCGAACAAGUACAGUGAUGGAAAGAUGAAAAGAACUUUGAAAAGAGAGUGAAAAAGUACGUGAAAUUGUUGAAAGGGAAGGGCUUGAGAUCAGACUUGGUAUUUUGUAUGUUACUUCUUCGGGGGUGGCCUCUACAGUUUAUCGGGCCAGCAUCAGUUUGGGCGGUAGGAGAAUUGCGUUGGAAUGUGGCACGGCUUCGGUUGUGUGUUAUAGCCUUCGUCGAUACUGCCAGCCUAGACUGAGGACUGCGGUUUAUACCUAGGAUGUUGGCAUAAUGAUCUUAAGUCGCCCGUCUUG